rnacentral:ncRNA from 1 species
UAAGAAGUAAUGAGAUAGAUAGUAGGGAAUAGUCACUGUUACAGAAACUUGAUGGAUGCUGUGAAUCAAGACAAAUUAUUAACCCGAAUUACACUAUUUGAAUUUUAUUGUUAUUGGUUCACCUCAUUAUUGGUGCUAGAGUGGUUGCUUUAAGUGACAACUUGGGUGGUAACGCGGAAUUAAUUUCGUCCCUAAU